rnacentral:rRNA from 1 species
CCUACGGGCGGCAGCAGUGGGGAAUAUUGCACAAUGGGGGAAACCCUGAUGCAGCGACGCCGCGUGAGUGAAGAAGUAAUUCGUUAUGUAAAGCUCUAUCAGCAGGGAAGAAAAUGACGGUACCUGAGUAAGAAGCCCCGGCUAACUACGUGCCAGCAGCCGCGGUAAUACGUAGGGGGCAAGCGUUAUCCGGAUUUACUGGGUGGAAAGGGAGUGUAGACGGCAGUGCAAGGCUGGAGUGAAAGGCGGGGGCUCAACCCCCGGACUGCUCUGGAAACUGUAUGGCUGGAGUGCAGGAGAGGUAAGUGGAAUUCCUAGUGUAGCGGUGAAAUGCGUAGAUAUUAGGAGGAACACCAGGGGCGAAGGCGGCUUACUGGACUGUAACUGACGUUGAGGCUCGAAAGCGUGGGGAGCAAACAGGAUUAGAUACCCGAGUAGUC